GACGAACGCUGGCGGCGUGCUUUACACAUGCAAGUCGAACGGUGAAGGUGGAGCUUGCUCCGCCGGAUCAGUGGCGAACGGGUGAGUAACACGUGGGCAACCUGCCCCUAACUUUGGGAUAACUACUCGAAAGAGUAGCUAAUACCGGAUAUGAAGUCUGUAGGCAUCUAUGGAUUUGGAAAGUUUUUCGGUUAGGGAUGGGCCCGCGGCCUAUCAGCUUGUUGGUGAGGUCGUGGCUCACCAAGGCGACGACGGGUAGCCGGCCUGCGAGGGCGCCAGGCCGCACUUGGACGGAGACACGGCCCAGACUCCUACGGGAGGCAGCAGUGGGGAAUAUUGGGCAAUGGGCGAAAGCCUGACGCAGCAACGCCGCGUGCGGGAUGAAGGCCUUCGGGUUGUAAACCGCUUUCAGCAGGGAAGAAGCGAAAGUGACGGUACCUGCAGAAGAAGCACCGGCUAACUACGUGCCAGCCGCCGCCGUAA
rnacentral:rRNA from 1 species